rnacentral:rRNA from 1 species
AUUGAACGCUGGCGGCAGGCUUAACACAUGCAAGUCGAGCGGGGGAAGGUAGCUUGCUACCGGACCUAGCGGAGGACGGGUGAGAAGUGCUUAGGAAUCUGCCUAUUAGUGGGGGACAACAUCUCGAACGGGAAGUUAAUACCGCAUACGUCCUACGGGAGAAAGCAGGGGAUCUUCGGAGCUUGCGUUAAUAGAUGAGCCUAAGUCGGAUUAGCUAGUUGGUGGGGUAAAGGCCUGCCAAGGCGACGAUCAGUAGCGGGUCUGAGAGGAUGAUACGCCACAGUGGGACUGAGACACGGCCCAGACUCCUACGGGAGGCAGCAGUGGGGAAUAUUGGACAAUUGGGGGAACCCUGAUCCAGCCAUGCCGCGUGUGUGAAGAAGGCCUUAUGGUUGUAAAGCACUGUAAGCGAGGAUGAGGCUACUCUAGUUAAUACCUAGGGAUAGUGGACGUUACUCGCAGAAUAAGCACCGGCUAACUCUGUGCCAGCCGCCGCCGUAA